AACGAACGCUGGCGGCAGGCCUAACACAUGCAAGUCGAGCGAAGCGCAAGCUUAGCGGCGGACGGGUUAAUAACGCGUGGGAACGUGCCCUUCUCUACGGAAUAGUCCCGGGAAACUGGGGGUAAUACCGUAUACGCCCUAUGGGGAAAGAUUUAUCGGAGAAGGAUCGGCCCGCGUUGGAUUAGGUAGUUGGUGGGGUAAUGGCCUACCAAGCCGACGAUCCAUAGCUGGUUUGAGAGGAUGAUCAGCAACACUGGGACUGAGACACGGCCCAGACUCCUACGGGAGGCAGCAGUGGGGAAUUUUAGACAAUGGGCGCAAGCCUGAUCUAGCCAUGCCGCGUGGACGAUGAAGGCCUUAGGGUUGUAAAGUCCUUUCGCUGGGGAAGAUAAUGACGGUAUCCGGAGAAGAAGCCCCGGCUAACUUCGUGCCAGCCGCCGCCGUAAUAC
rnacentral:rRNA from 1 species